rnacentral:lncRNA from 1 species
CUAGUACUACUCUACAUAACUUCUGUAAAACCAUAGACUUCUGUUGGCUGCAUCUCUAAACUAGGUGCUGAGUAGUCGGCGGAAGGCUGCUUCCAUCUUCCACCCAUCCUAGUUUCAUGAUGAUUCCCCACUCUGCAACCCAGUGGAGUGGGAAGAGGCAAUAUCCCAGCUGUUCCCCACUGGAGAGACACUAUUCUGGAGACUGAAAGCUCUCUCUUGGUCUGGAGUUCCUGUGGGAGAACUUAAUUUCCCUUAGUUUUGGUACAUUAUUUCCUAUCAUUAGGCCAGAUUCUGUUAUAAAAGAGAGUACCAGGGACCAGAAGUAUGUUUUCUACAGGCAAAUCAUUAAAGGCUUCUUUCUGAUGUGUCUUAAUAGGGAUCCCAGGAGCUCAGGAUCUGAAUAGUCUAUAGUACUAAUCUGCCAAGCAGUAGGGAGUGCGUCAAUAAGGGAAAAGUUUCAGAUCUGCUUUAUUUUUAAAAGAGCACCAAUAAUCUUGAUGAAGUAUGUUGACCAUAGAAACAGGAGUUGGUUAAUUAUUUGUUUAUAAGAAUAUCAUUAAGUUAUGAGACCCUCUUUUUCAGCAAUAACUCCAAGACAUGCCAGUCAGAAAUAGAGGAAACAUUUAAGGAAGCUCUUAAAUUCUUAAUGAUCUUAGUCUUUAAAGAUUGCAGGGCUUUCAAUCAACAUCUCUCCAGGCAGAAAAUUUUAUAGACAAUUCACUCUUCCCAAGGUCCAUUCCUACCUCCACAGGUGUGUCACACAGCCAUUUGUCUCUCCUACAGUGCCUCUUUCUCUAACGCCACUUGGUCAUCCAGCCACGACAUGGAAGAGCUGCAGAUUUUGCCAUUUGCAUUCACCAACAAACAGUUGACAUUAUGAUGCAGCUGCUCCUGUCUCAAGCUCUAAACUCGCCUUUCAGCCAACUGUGUCCAUAGAGGAAAGUAGAGCAAGAAUGGCGGAGGGGUGGGGAGACGGAGAAGGAGUGAAGAAAAGUAGAAAGAAGCAGACAGACUGAGGUGCAAGCGGAAGCUCUACUUGCUUUUCCACGUGGACGUCUGACUCAGCACGGUGGGAGACACGUUUUCCUUCUCCAUAAAUUGUUGUAGUGCCUUUGUUGAAAAUCAUUUGCUUAUACAUAUAAGUGGACUAUUCUGAGG